UCCUCGUCCCACCCCACCACCAACAACAGGGAAAGAAAAAAAAACUUGCACACUCCGAGAGCUCAACUGUGCAUGCACUUUUCUAUUUCGUGCUUGUAGAUGUUAUGGGAAAGUUGUCUCUCUCCCUACAUUUCUCUCCCUCUCCCCGUGACUCCCUCCUUCUCAUUCUCUUCGUCUAUCAUGUGCUUAGGAUAUGCUCAUGCCUUUCACAGAAUAGCUGUGGCUAAACUAGGCUACUGAGUGUUAGCGGCAAUUUUAAAGUGAUGCCCCCCAAUCAAAUGAUACGGCUGGGAUAUUUGAGAGGGACACAUACCACAUCACGGUACGCACGGAACCAACUAAAUACCGCUGUUCCUCUCCUGCUUGGGACGCUUUCUGAUCGAUUGCAGUGAUGUGACUCACCUUUAGGAACUGUGGAGGACUGCAGGCAGCAGGAACUAGACGUCAACGCAAGAUCUCGGGGAUUUUGCUCUACACUGUACCCACAUGAGGUUGGAUGGAGCUCUCGUAGAUCGUGACCCAGAAACAAAUGGCAUAAUGACUGGAGUCCCCAGACUGAAGAUGUCAAAGCAUAUUCAGCUGAUCUCAGAGGCAAAUGCAUUGACCUGAUCAGGAGCCUGAAUUUCAUAAAGCCAGGAGCUUCCAGUCAUAAACCUCAGGUGUUCUAGGAACUUCAUAUCACUCCCUGUGACACUUGACCUGCACUGUACACUUUAUUUCUGUAUUUCUGUCAACUGGUUGUAAAAGAUUGUUGACCAACCUGAAAAUACACUUCACAAUGACUUGGAAAUAGUCAUUUCUCUGACUUUGCACUAUAGGCAUCAAUGCCUUUUCAAAAUUUUUUAUAUGAGAAUAUUUCCAAAAUAAGUUGAAAAUAUUCUAAACAAUGAAAGUAUUUAUUUAAUGUAAUUGAGACUAACAAGUACAUUUUCUGAUGGCAAAAUAAAAGUAACUAAGUGAUUUUUUUAAGUGUGAGUUAUUUCCUCCUUUCUGUGCAGUGACUUGGCUCUUCAGGUAAAAUAAAAAAUGUGCUUGACAUCAUUGGGUCCUAUUUGGGUAUGAAAAGAGCAUGUAUGCUGAUAAAAACUUGCAGGGUAACCAAAGCACCAUGCUUCCUGGUCAAAAUCAUACACCUGACACGGCUGUAGCUUGUCCAGACAGACUUACAAAAUGUGGAGGACUCAGAUUUUAGACAUUCUGCAUUGUGCACAGUUUUUGGUGUACCAGUGAAUGCGCAAAAUAUGAAACAACUACUGACAACAAGAAUGAUUAUCUGCUAAUUAUCAGCACAUGAUAUACCGCACUGUACACCAACCUAGUUGACUAGAAGCAAACUGUGCUACCUCUUAAUGCCCAUGCUGCAUGCCAGGUUUGUUUUUGGAAUCUUACUUUGUGUUUUGCACUGUAACAAGAAUAAUCAAAAGUAGGACUCAUAACUCCAUCUGAUCAAUUGUUUCUUAGAGGGGAAAACCUCAUUUUCACCCUUUGUAUCCCUCAUUACUCUCCAGUCAUUUUUAUGUGCCCCUCUAUUUUUUCUUCCCCUUCCUAAUCAUAUUAAUUCUCUCUGUCCCUCUUUAUUUAACAUUA